CGUGGGGAACCUGCCCCAUAGUCUGGGAUACCACUUGGAAACAGGUGCUAAUACCGGAUAAGAAAGCAGAUCGCAUGAUCAGCUUUUAAAAGGCGGCGUAAGCUGUCGCUAUGGGAUGGCCCCGCCGUGCAUUAGCUAGUUGGUAAGGUAAAGGCUUACCAAGGCGAUGAUGCAUAGCCGAGUUGAGAGACUGAUCGGCCACAUUGGGACUGAGACAUGGCCCAAACUCCUACGGGAGGCAGCAGUG
rnacentral:rRNA from 1 species